rnacentral:rRNA from 1 species
AACGAACGCUGGCGGCAUGCCUAACACAUGCGAGUCGAACGAGACCUUCGGGUCUAGUGGCGCACGGGUGCGUAACGCGUGGGAACCUGCCCUUAGGUUCGGAAUAACUCCCCGAAAGGGGUGCUAAUACCGGAUAAUGUCUUCGGACCAAAGAUUUAUCGCCUUUGGAUGGGCCCGCGUUGGAUUAGCUAGUUGGUAGGGUAAAAGCCUACCAAGGCGACGAUCCAUAGCUGGUCUGAGAGGAUGAUCAGCCACACUGGGACUGAGACACGGCCCAGACUCCUACGGGAGGCAGCAGUGGGGAAUAUUGGACAGUGGGCGAAAGCCUGAUCCAGCAAUGCCGCGUGAGUGAUGAAGGCCUUAGGGUUGUAAAGCUCUUUUACCCGGGAUGAUAAUGACAGUACCGGGAGAAUAAGCUCCGGCUAACUCCGUG